rnacentral:rRNA from 1 species
AGCGAACGCUGGCGGCAGGCCUAACACAUGCAAGUCGAACGAACCUUUCGGGGUUAGUGGCGGACGGGUGAGUAACACGUGGGAACGUGCCUUUAGGUUCGGAAUAACUCAGGGAAACUUGUGCUAAUACCGAAUGUGCCCUUCGGGGGAAAGAUUAAUCGCCUUUAGAGCGGCCCGCGUCUGAUUAGCUAGUUGGUUGAGGUAAUGGCUCAUCAAGGCGACGAUCAGUAGCUGGUCUGAGAGGAUGAUCAGCCACAUUGGGACUGAGACACGGCCCAAACUCCUACGGGAGGCAGCAGUGGGGAAUCUUGCGCAAUGGGCGAAAGCCUGACGCAGCCAUGCCGCGUGAAUGAUGAAGGUCUUAGGAUUGUAAAAUUCUUUCACCGGGGACGAUAAUGACGGUACCCGGAGAAGAAGCCCCGGCUAACUUCGUG